AGCGAACGCUGGCGGCAGGCCUAACACAUGCAAGUCGAACGAACUCUUCGGAGUUAGUGGCGGCCGGGUGAGUAACACGUGGGAACGUGCCUUUUGGUUCCGCAUAACUCUGGGAAACUUGUGCUAACAUCGAAUGUGUCCUUCGGGGGACCGAUUUAUCGCCAUUAGAGCGGCCCGUGUCUGUUGGGCUUGUUGGUGGGGUAACGGCUCACGAAGGCGAGGCUCAGUAGCUGGUCUGAGAGGCUGCUAAGCCACACUGGGACUGAGACACGGCCGAGACUCCUGCGGUAGGAAGCAGCGGGGAAUACUAGGCAAUGGGGGAGAGGAUGAUCCAGCGAAAUCGAGUGAGUGCAGAAGGAGUUCGGCUUGUAAAGCCAUGUUGUUGGGAGAGAAAAGCAGUAGUUUCAUACGCGGCUGUAAUGACGGUACCCGGAGAAGAAGCACCGGCUAACUUCGUG
rnacentral:rRNA from 1 species